AUUGAACGCUGGCGGCAUGCCUUACACAUGCAAGUCGAACGGUAACGGGCCUUCGGGUGCCGACGAGUGGCGAACGGGUGAGUAAUGCAUCGGAACGUACCUUUCAGUGGGGGAUAACGUAGCGAAAGUUACGCUAAUACCGCAUAUUCUGUGAGCAGGAAAGCAGGGGAUCGCAAGACCUUGCGCUGAUUGAGCGGCCGAUGUCAGAUUAGCUAGUUGGUGAGGUAAAGGCUCACCAAGGCGACGAUCUGUAGCGGGUCUGAGAGGAUGAUCCGCCACACUGGGACUGAGACACGGCCCAGACUCCUACGGGAGGCAGCAGUGGGUAAUUGUGGACAAUGGGGGCAACCCUGAUCCAGCCAUGCCGCGUGAGUGAAGAAGGCCUUCGGGUUGCAAAGCUCUUUCGGCCUGGAAGAAAUCGCACAGGCUAAUACCUUGUGUGGAUGACGGUACCGGAAUAAGAAGCACCGGCUAACUACGUGCCAGCCGCCGCAGUAACAC
rnacentral:rRNA from 1 species